UGCUCAGGCUCAAUGCCUCACCUUGGGGCUGCACAUCAAAAUCCUACCCACCCUUCAAGACCUGAAAAGGUUGCCCACCUCUUCUGAGAAACCUUCCCAGAUCUUCCCACAAUCACCUUUAUUUUCACCCCUGAGUCACUUUUGUGGAAAAUGAAUCAAGAGACUCCCUGAUGGACUCUAGCUGUCUCAGGGCAGUGUUUCCAUGGCCUUGUUCAGGCCAUGUCUCAGUUCCUCCCCUGGUGCCUGGCUUAUUACCUUAAAUGAAAUGGUCCUUUGGGACUCUACUUCUGCCAUGGAUUAAACGUGCACCUCUUCCUAAGAUUCUUAUCUGGUCCCUGCUGUGAUGGUUUUUGAGGAUGAGGCCUUUGGGAACUAACUAUGUGACAUAGGAGGAGCCCUCAGAAUUAGUGUCCUCAUAAGAAGAGACAGGAGCGAGCUUGUCUUCUCUGUCCUCCACUCUGUGAGGACUUGGCAAGAAGACAGCAAACCAGGAAGAGGGCUCUCACCAGAACCUGACCAAGCUGGACCCUGAUGGUGGACUUCCCAGCUUCCAGAACAGUGAGAAGCUCCUCUGCUAUUUUCCACGGACCCUUCUGUGGCCCUGAUACAGCUCUGAGGACCACCUGGACACACCCACCCCUGAGAUCCUGGCAUGGAGUCUGAACUGGGCGGAAGUCUCCGCACUGCCUCUUCUCAGCUGCCUCCAUUGGGCAAGUUGCUUUACCUCUGAACAGUUUCCUCAGCAGAGAAGGGUCGCUGUGAGGACUGAGAAUGUGGGGUUGAGCGCAUCUCACCCACUGCACCAGGCUCUCCAAACACGAGCGCCACCGUGGCAGCCCUCUCCCACUCUCCAGUGCCACUCUGGCCAAGCUCCGGGCACCUGCCCAAAUGCCGGUUCUGCCGGUUCUGUGGACUCCACCUGCCAUUCGGGCCCCUGAGGAUGUCCUAGAAAGUACUUUUGCAACCUCUCUAGGUUAACAGCUCAAAAUCUCCAGACGCUUCUGAUUACCUGGUCCCUUGUGAGCACGCCAUGGUUUUCUUCCUUAAAUUCUUGAAAAGAAAAAAAGGUUUGAAUGGCAGUCAGGACUGGCAGAAGCUGGACUCUCAUUGUGAGCCAAGGAAGGAGGCUGUGAGAGGAAAUGGAAGAAAGUGGAUAUGCCGAUAGCCAGGCUGGUGCUUUUCCAGGUCCACGUUUAGAACAUCUCAGCUGGAGAGGAUCCGUUGUCCAAUGCUCAUGUGCUGCCGCAGGAAGAGGCGCCCAGGAUGAAGGGUGCUCCCACACAAUGAGCAGGGUCACACGGGAACACCUGGACACUUCGUCCCAGCCAGGGGACCAGGGGCCACCUCCCCUAACUCGGAUGGCAGAACCCCUUCCUGUCAUCUGUUGGCUCCCGUGACUCCAGGGCAGGCUGGAGUGUCCGUGGUGCACGGGUGCUCCGGAACGGCAGCCGCUGCCCACGCAUCCUGCCUUGCCCUGCGUGUUCCUGCUGCCCCUGCCGUCUUCACCCCAGGCCCUGGCUCCCUGCUGGACCUCCCCCGCGCCAGGCGCUCACCCACACUGGCUUCCAGCCGCGGCCACCCUGGGAAUGGUCUCAUGGGGUGGAAAGCUCUUAGGAUACUUUACUGGGACUAGAAUUUCAUUGUGGAAAAUCUCCCCAGGCUCCAACCGCUGACUCAUCCCUUG